AUUGAGCGCUGGCGGCAUGCCUUACACAUGCAAGUCGAACGGUAACAGGUCUUCGGACGCUGACGAGUGGCGAACGGGUGAGUAAUACAUCGGAACGUGCCUAGUAGUGGGGGAUAACUACUCGAAAGAGUGGCUAAUACCGCAUGAGAUCUACGGAGGAAAACAGGGGAUCGCAAGACCUUGUGCUACUCGAGCGGCCGAUGGGAGAUUAGGUAGUUGGUGGGAUAAAAGCUUACCAAGCCGACGAUCUGUAGCUGGUCUGAGAGGACGAUCAGCCACACUGGGACUGAGACACGGCCCAGACUCCUACGGGAGGCAGCAGUGGGGAAUUUUGGACAAUGGGCGAAAGCCUGAUCCAGCAAUGCCGCGUGCAGGAUGAAGGCCUUCGGGUUGUAAACUGCUUUUUUACGGAACGAAAAGCCCCGGGUUAAUACCCUGGGGUCAUGACGGUACCGUAAGAAUAAGCACCGGCUAACUACGUGCCAGCCGCCGCAGUAA
rnacentral:rRNA from 1 species